CUCGUCCUUGCGGUGUCGUUUCAGUUCCUGCUAUCCUCUCUUCAUCCCUACGUUAUUAUUGUGAGAAGCCAAGAACCGGUCAACACUCACAAUACUUGACUCUUUUUUUGAGAUUUCAAUAUCUUUAGGGGAGCAAACAAUGUUUGGGGGUUGCACUUUUUUUUGAAGUGGGAUUAUCUGAUUCCAGCUUACUUUCCACAGUGUUUGGUGCUUCCAAGUUUUUCCUUUGUAAAAUCAAGACAACAAAGCAUGUGAUCUUAAUCAAAGUUCAGCGUUUUUUGGGACUUUGAAUGUCAUAUUAUCUUGUUUUUUUUUUUUUAGUUGG
rnacentral:misc_RNA from 1 species